UCCAGCAAGGCAUCUUCUCUCCGGGGGACUGGGAAACAGGGUGUUUGUCCUCACCUAGAAAACGGCCUCUACGCACACAUCUGCUGGAGAGAAUAAAGCUGCCGCGUGGCCCUGGGCUUGCUGGCAGGCAGGGGUGGCUGGUGGGCAAGGCUUGGGCCAGCCAGAAUGCUCUGCUCCCAGGCAGCCUGGAACUCUCCCUGGAACAGGGCGAAAGCCCCCUAGUAGCCAAAAAAGGAAGAUUCUCCCUGGAAACCUGGGCCUGUUCCCCAGCAGCUGGUGGUACACUUGAACACUGUGUGAAGACACUUCCUUCAUCAUUUCUUGGGAAGUCCUGAAUUACCCCGAGGUCAACAUUUCCACUUUACCCUACUCACAACCACAGCUAGAGCAAGGAGGAACUGUAUGAGAAAUACCGCAUGACAAUGAUUUCGUAGGGAGAGGCAACUGGCUCACACUCACCAUUAUAUUAGUAGAGCCAGACUAGAAUCAAGCUCUCAACUGUCCUUCUGGAAAAAUAAAGUUCUAGAAAAAUAGGUCACUUUUCUGAGGACCUGCAAGCAAGAUGAUCACUAAAGCUUGUCCUGGAAGACUGUGACAUCAGGAGCAUCAUGAAGUCUACAUUUGUUCAUUCUUCCCCAUUCCUCCUCC
rnacentral:lncRNA from 1 species